rnacentral:lncRNA from 1 species
GCCGAGGUCCUCUUCUAGGAUUGGUUGUCCACUCAUAACCAUAAGAUAAUUAAAACGGGGGGGGGCAGGGUAAAAAAAAAACCCUUUUAUCAGCCAUAGGUUAAUGCAAGUGUUUAACAGAUGCUUCGCUAUUAAAAUAUUUCCCCCCAAUACUGAAGAAUCUUAAACCAGAGAUUGCGAAGAUUUUCAAAGUGGGGCACCUCGAUUUCUCGAAUCUGUGGUGUGGCGAAUAUCCGUGUUCCUCCUGCUUAACUAGCCUGUUUGAAGGCACAGUUCAUUCUCGAGCAAUUCGUCACCUCCUGGGGGUCUUCUCUUCCCGUCUACAGGAGAGUGUGACUUCAGAAAGAACUUCGGAUUGGCCAAGGCAGGUCUGAUUCUAUUUAUUCUAAAGACAGAGUUGGAGAUGGGCUACCAUUGGUGUUGAUUGAGAUGACAAGCAGUCACCUGAGCCCAUACAGCUGGGUUCACAGAUGUGGCUAGUCUUGCUAGCCAGCUCGCACUGUGGACAUUCUAGGGAACUGACUGCAGUCCUCAUGCUUGGAGUCAAACACUUUAACCACUGCACACGUUUAUGUAAUAGGAUUGACAUAUGAGAAUCAGAGAAAUGAAUGAAAGAUUAGAGUGGGAGAAAGUGCUUGCUGCCAAGCUUGAUGACCUAAAUUGAAUACCUGGAACCUACACGACAGAAAGAGAGAGCUGACUGCUGAAAGAUGUCCUCAGAUCUUCACAUGUGCACAGUGGCACCUAUCCAACCAUGCACAUAGUAUAUUAAAAAUUAUUUUUUAAAAAAUCCA